rnacentral:rRNA from 1 species
UACAGAGGUCUCAAGCGUUGUUCGGAUUCAUUGGGCGUAAAGGGUGUGUAGGUGGCGCGCUAAGUCGGGUGUGAAAUUUCGGAGCUUAACUCCGAAACUGCAUUUGAUACUGGCGUGCUUGAGGACUGGAGAGGAGACUGGAAUUUACGGUGUAGCAGUGAAAUGCGUAGAUAUCGUAAGGAACACCCGUGGCGAAAGCGGCUCUCUGGGACGGUACUGGACGCUGAGACGCGAAAGCGUGGGGAGCGAACAGG